rnacentral:lncRNA from 1 species
CGGACUUUGAGCUGGAGUUCUACAUUGCCGACCUCCGCCCCUUUGACCCCUAGAGAGCCUCGUCGGGAGCUCCGUGCCCACCUCACCGCCCUCAAGGUUGAGUUCAUUGACCUCAUCAACUAUGACUUUUCCGACUUUGUCAGCCUCAAUACCGAUCUCAUCAACGUUGACUCUACUAGGUGUGCAUUGGGCAAAGGAUCGUUUUCAUGAAUCUCUUCAGUGAUCCCAUUUAGUCUUAGCCACUCUAGUUCAAGGUCGCCUACUUUCUCCGUCUGAACUUCAAGUCGGAGUUCUAUGUCACCAACCUCUGCUCCUUCAUCCCCCU